UUGAUAACAACUAAAUUUACUAAAUUCUCGAUAUUGUACAACUAUGAGUAAAAAUGUGCAAUUGAGCACAACUGUACAACUAUGAGCAAAUUUGUGAUGUUAUUUAAUUAUUAUUUUUCAAAAUAACGAGGCCACAUCAGAUAUUUGUAGAUAUUCUUGAUAUUUCAUUUUUUUAUAUUUUUAUCAAAACACUUAGAUUCAUAUUAAAAACUUUAU
rnacentral:sRNA from 1 species